AUGUCUCCAAGUUAUUUACUGAGCCCUAGUCUUCGCCUUUCACCCAUUACAGAUGCUCAGUUCUCACCAUAUGUAGGUGGAAUGGCUUUCUCUCCUACUUCAUCUCCAGGCUAUAGCCCAUCAUCCCCUGGUUACAGUCCAUCAUCCCCUGGUUACAGUCCUACGUCUCCUGGAUACAGCCCUACCUCACCUGGUUAUAGCCCCACCUCACCUGGAUACAGCCCAACUUCGCCAACUUAUAGCCCUAGUUCUCCUGGCUAUAGCCCUACCAGUCCUGCCUAUUCUCCUACAAGUCCAUCGUAUUCCCCAACUUCCCCUAGUUACAGCCCAACUUCUCCCAGCUAUAGCCCAACAUCUCCAAGUUAUAGUCCAACCUCUCCAAGCUAUAGCCCCACAUCUCCCAGUUACAGCCCAACUUCACCAAGCUAUAGCCCUACAUCUCCAGUAUAUAGUCCCACUUCACCUGCAUAUAGUCCCACUUCGCCUGCAUACAGUCCUACCUCACCAUCAUACAGCCCAACUUCUCCUUCCUAUAGCCCAACGUCACCUUCCUAUAGCCCAACCUCGCCUUCUUACAGCCCCACAUCUCCAUCAUACAGUCCAACUUCACCUGCUUAUAGCCCGACAUCCCCUGGUUACAGUCCAACCUCACCAAGCUAUAGCCCAACAUCGCCAAGCUAUAGCCCGACCUCACCCAGUUACAAUCCUCAGUCAGCUAAAUACAGUCCGUCACUGGCAUACUCACCUAGCAGUCCAAGAUUGUCACCGUCGAGUCCUUACAGCCCCACGUCUCCAAAUUAUAGGUAGGCUGAAAUCUUCCAGUAGUCAGUUCCUUGCUUUUGUGAUUUAUUCAAGUACUGUGACUUUUUCCAGUUUCAUUCAUAGCGAACUAGUAUCUCUUACCUUUUUAUUCUUUUAUCUUAUGUUGCAGCCCAACCUCACCAUCAUAUUCACCGACUUCUCCAUCAUAUUCCCCUUCAAGCCCAACAUAUAGUCCUAGCAGGUGACUCUUAUAGGCAGCUAUUUUGUCUGCUCCUACUACUUUUUCUGUUUACUGGUUUGUUAGUCAUACCUUAACCUUUACUC
rnacentral:lncRNA from 1 species